GUGAUGUUAAAAGUGGAAAAAUCGAUAUACCAUUUUAUUAAGAUCAAGGAUUAAUUUGACGGUUUAAAUGUGGGUUCGUGAAUCAGUGGGACCGUAUAAUUUGGGCAUUUGAAAUGAAAUGGUACUCUUUUGUUGUUGCUCUUAAAACAAGCUUCAAACUAUCAGUCUAACUAAUUGAGAUGGCGACGAGGAGAGGAGCAAAACGCAGUGUUAUUGAAAUUUCCUCUUCUUCCGAAGAAGAAGAAGAAGAAGAAGAAGAAGAAGGAGAAGGAGAAGAAGGAAAUGAAGAAGAAGGAAGCUCAGAAGAAUCAGAACCAUUAUCAGAAUCGGAUGACGAUGAUUUUGACUCCUCCGCCUCAAGCGAGAGCGAUGGUGAUUACGAAGAAUAUGAUGAUGAGGAUGAUAUCGAAGAGGAAAGUAAGGAGUCGGGGUGCGACAGAGUCCUUCGCCUUCUCCAAGGGGGUAGAGAAUUGAAGAAGCUAAAGGGAGAAUUGAGGAAGCUAACAUUGACGGACUAUAAAGCAUAUUUGCGGUCAAAUGGGUUGAGGUUAUCUGGUACAAAGGAAGAAUGUGUAGAAAGGAUCAUAGAGCACUGGAGGAUCAAAGAUGAUAAUGGUCAAAGACUAUAUCCCAAAUCAUCAUUUACCGUUAACUGCACCGGUGACGUAUGUAAAGGAGAUGUUGUAUUAUUCACACAGAAAGUGUACAAGAAUUUUGACAAGAUGACAAGGGGUGGAGAACUAUUAGGGAAGAGAACCAUUGCUGGGAGGAUUGUUAAGGAGAGUUAUGGUGCUGCCAAACAGCAGCAUACCUUUACGGUUGAGGUGUUAUGGAGCCGAGGGGUUAAACAAUUAUCUGCACUUUUUCCAUUGCUUGUAAAGGGACGAAACCUUUAUAAGUUGAAGACUUUCAGACAGAGAUGGAAGAAUGAAAAGAAAAGAUUAGAAGUGCUUGCAGAGAAGCACAAACGUGGAGAAGCAGCAAGAUUUAUUAGAGCAACAAGAAAAUCAAAAUCGAUAAAGUCGACAAAAGCAUCCUCUAAAAAUAAAGGUAACACGCAUCAGAAACUUGAUCAUCAUAGGAGGCCAAGCGAAAUGAUACAGACAAGCAAAGUAAAGAAAAACAAUUGUUCUAUUGAUGAACGCAGGAAAACAACAGUAGGAAGCAAAAGAACAAAACACCGCCAUGAAAAGCCUCGUCCACCUGGGAGAUUGAAUUUGGCAGAGUCCAGAAAUAGUAGAUUCCCUAUGAGGCAUCCAAACUUUGUGCCUGCCAUUGGGGAGAUCUCAUUACAGUUCAAUUAUCCUUCAGCGAAUAAUUUCCGCCAUUUUGAAUCAGAUUAUUACGGCCGAGGAGUACUAUAUUCCUAUUCAUCUAACUGGCAUUCAGCACCAAGAUCACAUUUAAGCUCUUAUUCCUCUUAUGCUCUGCCUGCUCCAGAUCUUCAACAAUAUGAUCGUGGAAGCUAUCCUAAUUUUUCAUAUCCUAGGUAUGUAUCUCAGUCUAGUAAUCAUUCGCGUUUUCCUGGCAUGGUCGGAACUCACAGAUCAUCUGAUUCAUUCCCGUUUGUAAACUAUGACCGUAGAUAAAACUCUUAGCUUUUUGUCUCUCUUGCUCUGGCCCGUGCUGUGCACAUAGGAGCAGCAAGGGGUUUACAUGAACAAAAUGGUGCAAGGGGUCUUAAACUGACUUUUGGAGGAUUGCCUUGUUUAGUUCCAUUUCUUUUGCAUUCAAGUGGAAUAUGGGACUUGGAUUUUGGAAGGGUGAGCUUGAUCACGCCACAAUUCCAGAGUUCUCUGUUGGAUCCUGUCCUUUUAUUACUCUUUUCUCUGUUCGUUGAGUUAUUUACAAGCUUGUACGUCUAACUAGACGUGUCCCAAAAAGAAAAAAGAAAAAGAUAUUGUAAUAUAGCAUAGCACAUAGCACAUAGCACAUAGCACAUAUCACAUGUAUUAGUUAGUUUAGUUAGUCACAUGCUUCUUUCUGUUAGAUGACAACUGUUAAUGAGCUAUCAAUUAGUUAGUUGGUUAACUUAAGAUAGUGGUAGUUAGGUGUAUAAAAUGUACUGAUAAUCUUCUUCAAUAGAACAGUUGUUCAUUUCUCUCUUA